rnacentral:tRNA from 1 species
GGGGAUGUAGCUAAGUGGUAGAGCAAUUGCCUCAUAAGUACAAGGCCCUGGGUUAGAACCCCAGUACCA